rnacentral:lncRNA from 1 species
GUGUGAGGGUAUGCUGAAUUGUAACUUUAAAUAUAAAAUACCCUACUUAUUUAAAAUUAAGUAAAAUUAAUAUAAACUACCUUAUUACAUUUGUUCUCAGAGAAGACAGGCCUAAGAUAGUCUUGCCUAGAGGUUUGAUUCCAUGGUAUCUUGAAAUAGAACUAUCCUAACCAAUGUAUGUGUAGUAAGCCUCAAAUUUCAUUUACUAGGACCAUUAGGAUCAAUUUUCUUGAAGUAUAAUUGAAGCAAUUUUCAAAAUAAAAACAGAAUUUGGAAAUAUUCUGACCUUAAGAAUACAAUAAGCUACAUAGCUGUACCUGGAUUGCUCAGUCUGUUUUCCUGUUUCCUUAGCUGAGUUGCUGACAGCUUAUUAUCAGGAUGAUCUGUUGACACUGCACACUUAUCAGGCUCUCAAACAAAACCGUGCUACAGAACUAGUAUGGACUUCAUUACUGAAACCAGGCAAAGGUUAACUGCCUGUACUUUCAAAGUGAUGAUCAGUCUCUAGGCUGUUUCUACUUGCACAUAUGUUCAGUAUGCCCACUGCUAGUCUGGGAGAGCCAGCCUGGCAGAAUAACUAUCAGGAGCAAUUACCAGGUCUGAUUAUGAGGAGGAAAAUUCCACAGGAGGAUUUGUCAACCUUUGGCAUAAAACACUGUAAAAGUAGAAGAAAGGGUAGUUGCCUGGGAGUUGGGUGGCCUGGGUUCAGUCCUGGCCCUGCUUCUUAAUAAAAUUCAGAUCUCUUUGACUCAUCUCUCAGACCUUAGUAUUUUCAUCUGUAAAAUUACAGUUUGGGUACUCAAUCCAACAAAAGGCUACCAACCUUCUUCCAAGUUCCUGUGUGAUUUUUUCAAACAAAACUUGUAGCAUCCUUUCCUUGGCUGAGAAUCAUGAUUUCAGGUAGCUCUCAUCACUGAGGUGGAAAAAUGCUUGUGAGCAUUGGAC